CGGGAGGCAGCAGUGAGGAAUAUCGGUCAAUGGGCGGAAGCCUGAACCAGCCAUCCCGCGUGCAGGAAGACGGCCCUAUGGGUUGUAAACUGCUUUUCCAGGGGGCGAACAGCCUUGACGUGUCAGGGUUUGACGGUACCCUGGGAAUAAGCAUCGGCUAACUCCGUGCCAAGCAGCCGCGGUAAUACGGAGGAUGCGAGCGUUAUCCGGAUUUAUUGGGUUUAAAGGGUGCGUAGGCGGACAAAUAAGUCAGUGGUGAAACCCUGCAGCUUAACUGUAGAUGUGCCGUUGAUACUGUUAGUCUUGAGUAUGGUCAAGGUAGGCGGAAUGUGUAAUGUAGCGGUGAAAUGCUUAGAUAUUACACAGAACACCGAUUGCGAAGGCAGCUUGCUGGGCCAAUACUGACGCUGAUGCACGAAAGCGUGGGGAUCGAACAGGAUUAGAUACCCUGGUAGUCCACGCCGUAAACGAUGAUCACUCGCUGUUGGCGAUACACAGUCAGCGGCUAAGCAAAAGCAUUAAGUGUUCCACCUGGGGAGUACGGCCGCAAGGCUGAAACUCAAAGGAAUUGACGG
rnacentral:rRNA from 1 species